GGGCACAGCACGGGUGUGUGGCCGUGCUCUGCUUUGCCGCAGCCUGCAAAGUGGAAAACACCCGCAGACAAGUGCUCGCUGGGGCCCUGUGCUCACUUUUCAGGGAAACUCCCUUAAAAUUGCUUUUUCUCUAGCCGUCCGUGGGGUCUGACCUUAAAAAUCCUCACCGUCUGCAAAAAAAAAGUUCAUGCCCGAAUAUUCACGCUCUCGUGGAAAACCUGUUGGGAAGGGUUUGGGAUCUCCCUGCUGCUUCCCAGCAGGAUCCUGCUGUGCCUGAGCCACCCCUGGCAGAUGCAGUGCCGAGCUAGGAAACACCACGGAGGGCUGCGUGGCCCCAAACCUGAUUUUUCCUCCUAUUGUUGCUCAGGCCACCUGCUACACUUCAGCCUUUGGACCUUCUCGUGGUGAGCAAUGCCGCCCUGUGUGUACAGAGUCCUGGCACCAGGCUUUGCUGACGGGUGUAGGAGCCUUGGGAGUACUCAGCUCUCUUAACUCAUCGCUCACAGCCUCUUGCUCUCGUUUCGAGGACAAGCAGCUCUCUGUUUAUCUGGGUCAAGCAAAUUACAUGCAAGAACAACCUUUAUUUCCCAGAGCCUGUUUGGGUCUCCCCACCCUGCUUUCUUUCAUUCUUUUCCUUUCAUUUCCCUGCCCCUCUUUCAGACCGUGGGGCUCGGAGGAUCACAGAGCAAAGGGAGCUCCAAGGGCACUGCAGUCCCAUGCACGCAGACUGCUCAGAGGGAAGCAGGCAUGGUGGGGUUGCCCUUGCAGGGAGGAUGAAGGCGAACACCCUGACAGCUCUCUGCUCCUCCCUGCUGCUCGUGCUGCAGCCGGCACACCCUCCUCUGCAGCACCAGCCUCACCUCUUGGCAGCACGGUGCUGAAAUAAGGAUGUUUGCAGGCUGCAAAAACAGGAGGGGCAGAAAGGUGUUGUUCUCCCAGCCGUCACACAUCACACGAGCUUGGCAGGCCCAGCGCAGGCUGGAGGAGCAGCGAGCCCCGGUCCCUCUGACAGCAGGCACCAGGGCCAUGGUAAACACCCAGGAAUGUUUUUCCUACGCCAUCUCCUGGCGCCUGGAGAUCUCUGGCUUCUCAAGGCAGAGGUUGGGCUUCAGUGACUAAUAAAUAGCUCUGUGCGUGUGCAGAUACUUCUCGGGUGAAGCAAUCCCCUUCUGGCACUCAGUGUCCUGCAGCGGGGAGAGCCACAAUUUAUCCACGCGCUGCAGGAAGCAACACCUCCUGUUUGCUGUCCUUGGCUGACUUCGUUUGCUGCCCUUCGUGUCAGAAUAAGCAACUCUGCUCUCUCCAGCCAAGAACUGACACGCUUCCCACUCUCCCAUUUCACCCCGGUGCUCCUCAGCUGCUUCCCAGCGGUUAACAACCUGCUCCUGCCACCAGCUGCCAGCUCCCUCCAGGGCCUGCCCCCCUGCAGGCAGGUCCAAGCUUCAUUUACAGCACUUAGCUCACUAACCAGGGAGGAAAAAAGUCCUGCUGUGGGCCUUGGAUGAGGUUCAUCCAAAACUGAACAAACACCAGCUGUUGGUUGCAGGAAUAUUGCCCGGACUGAGCACGAGGAAGCCUGUUCCUCGCUGAGCUCUGCCCAGGUAACCUCAGGCGUGUUUUGCAAAAGAUUUACCAUGGCCACGCUUGGUUUAGCUCAGGGAGGUUUUUAAAAACAAUAGUGAUCAGCUUCGGGCUGGUGAAUCACCCACAGCCCUCCAGGAGAAGUGUUCAGCUCCUCAUGUUCUUCAAAGGGGCCUGCAGAGGGAACGCCUGAGGUGGAGCACUUUUGGGGUCAAAUGGGAAACUGCAGAGAAUCUCCCAGAAGAUGGGAGUGGGUUUUCUCUUUUUGCUAACAUGAUCUUAAAAAAUAAGCUCAGGAAGGUGGCCUGCAUGGCCCAGAGAGGUGACUGCCAUUUGUCCUCUGCUCUCUGCCUCCAGGCCAACACCUCGGAAGUCAACCAGAAGGUGAAUUGUGUGUCAGCUACCUGCAACGUGGCCAGGAAAUCAGAAACCAGAAGAAAGGGUUGCUCUGUGGCGUUGGCCAGUGUCCCGGGGACACUGUGAGCAGCUGGGGCUCAGCUCACAUUGGACUCCUGCCCACUAGAGGUUUUCCCUGAUAGCAAAUUUUGCUGCCCUGAUCAGAAAUUCUGCAGCUCUGCUCCCUCUGCAGCCAGCUGGGUUCAGACCGGCUCUGGGGUUCUUGCCAGGCUCCUGUGAGAUUCCUGAAAAUCUCACUGAAAUACAGGAAAUAUUUCCUACAGGAGAGCAGCUGAUUACUGCUGGAAGAAGAAGCAUCCUUAGUGGUAGGUAUUCCCUCUGGCCUUGUGGAGUGCUGCUGUCUCAGGGCUGAAUCCCAGCCCAGGUGACUUUCAGGUGGGCAAGCACAAUAAUAAAUGAGCACAGGGGCAUUCAUUUUGUGUGCCAAAUUAUUCUAGCUAGAACAGGGCACAGGAUUUUGGUAAGUGGUUCUCACUUCAUCAGCUGUGCUGUAUUGAAUAUGGAGCAGCUGUUGCAUGGUUGAUUGAUGGAUAGUAAGGAAAAGUUGAGCAGGUCCUAGCAGUGGGGUCCCCAGGAUGGGAAGAACCUUUUCAGAGCCCCCUAGGAUUGUUUAAAACACCCUAAGCAAACAGUGCACCUUGCAAGCACUGGGCUCAGGCUCUGAAAACUUCCUCUUUACAAAAAUGGGGGGAUGGGGAUUAAUUUCUUGUAGUGCCUAUGUUACAGCAACCCAAGUCCAAACAGCUUUGCAUUUCAUGUGAACAUUAAAGAAUAAGGAAGAAAAAAAAAAUGAGAGAAAAUUUUAGUGGCUAAAAUUACUCCUGUAGUUGUUUUACACAGCUGAAUGAAGAUAAUUGUAUUGGCAAUUGUGAGUGAUUACAGUAUUAUCUGCCAUCAAAAAAGUUAUUUUUUUGAAUGCUAAAGGAAUUAAUGAUACAUAAAACUGUGCUUAGAUUGAGUGCAUUCAUCAGCAGAAAUGCCUCGUGCUGGCACUGCUACACUGUAAUUACUCCAGCAGCUCGGAGACAGAAAGAGAGCAGGAGAUAUGGGGCUGUUGCAGAUAGUCGAAGAUUUGCAAACAUUUUCACGCUGAGCAUCUCUCAUGCUUUGGGACUGAGAGCAGAAAAGUUGGUGAAGGGCGGUCAAGUUUGGCCCCUUCGUUAAUGUGCAUUAUAGAAGAAAGACCAGGGGGUCAUCUCUGUGCUGAGAACUUUACAGGUUGAAGCCAGCAAGGAGAAGAUGAUCAAAUGCUUCUCAGAACAGCCAGGGGGGAGCCCAGGCUUCAUGGAUGCUGCCUCAUGGUGUGUUGGAUUGAUAAAACCAGAGCUGGGGUCUCAAGCGGUUGUUGCCCAGCUCUGGGAGAUGGUGGUGGUGGGGACAGCAGAGGUGGUACCCCCAAAAGGGACACCUGCUCCUGCCCUGCCCUCUGAAUGAGUGUGUUGUGCUGCCACAUCAGUGGGGCUGGCAGAAAAUAAACAUCUCGGUGGGGAUGGGGUGAGGAACUUUGCAAGAAGUGCUUGCUCUGCACCUUGUGACCCUUCAGCAAGGAGACACGGCACUGGGAGGAUGCUUGUAGGCAGGCUCAGCCCUGGGAAGGCUGUUGAAGGGGCUGUGAGCAGUCUGUGCAGAGCAGCAGGAUGCUUCCCGUGGUGCAAAGGAUUUUGGAGGAGGCUUUUAAAUGAGUUGGGGUAGGUUGCAGCCCCCCUAUGGAGACCGUGAGACCUUCCCACUAUCAUCACUUUUGAUGAUCUCCACCUUUUUUUGAAAAGCUGCCUUCUGAGCUGUAUAAUGAGCUAAAUUAAUUAAAAAAAAAAUAAGAAAAAAAUCGGGACACAGACUGGAAGGGGUGCUCGAAAGAUACCGCUGCAGGUUGCGUUUGGCCUUUCGGGUGUGAGCCACCAGAGAGCAGGAUUGAGCUGCUGUCCUGGUGGAAACCUGGUGCCCGGGGGCUUUUGUGCCCUAAAAACCUGCAGCGUGCCCUCGAUUUGCAAGGGGCACUGAAUGGAGCAGAAGGCUCUUUUCUGGCUCAUUUGUUGAUGGGACAGCUCAAGCUUUUUGGGGGAGGAACUCUGAUUUCACGCGAUUUUAAGUGCUCUUAUACAAUGAUGGAAGAUUUGCUGUUGGUCCGUCUGAACCUGGCUGUUUGUGCUAAGCAGGAUAUCUCAGCAGGGCUUGAUCCUGAAACCUGCCAGUGCUCAGAGACCUACAGCAUCACUGCCACGAGGAUUUAUUCUAGUGCCCGGGAUCGUGCCUCAAAUCCAGCACAUUGCCUGUGCUUUGGGAUCAGCAGAGACGUCUCUGCCACCCAGUCUGACUGAGUGUUGCAGACACGGUUGCACCUAUUUGUGUGUGAAGCCAGGUUUUGAGUCUAACAGGAGCAGCCCCAAGUUCAAUCCUGACAGCCUUCCUCCAAACAAAAAUUAUUCCACUGUUUGGGAUCAAAAUUUAAGUGGGGUUUAUUUUUAUUUUAUUUUAUUUUAUUUUAUUUUAUUUUAUUUUAUUUUAUUUUAUUUUAUUUUAUUUUAUUUUAUUUUAUUUUAUUUUAUUUUGUUUUAUUUUAUUUUGUUUUAUUUUGUUUUGUUUUAUUUUGUUUUGUUUUAUUUUGUUUUAUUUUAUUUUAUUUUAUUUUAUUUUAUUUUAAUUUUAUUUUUUACUGAGCUUUGCUUCUGAAGAGGCCAGGAGAGGGAGCCAGGCAGCCAGUUACCGCACCGACCGAAUUUCCAGCUCUGUGUGCCAUGGGAUGAAAGCAAACACACUUAAAUACACACACUGAUUUCCUCAGAAGUCCUGGAGGGAAGGUUUGGUCUGUGCAGACCUGGGGGCGUUCUGCAAUUCCCAUUUACACAGACAGGAUGGGCAUGGGGCAGGAGGGGAAACUGAGGCACAGAGCAGGCACCUUGCUGGAGCUGGUGGGUGGCAUCCCCUCAGGGACCCUCGGAGUCCCAUUUUGGGUUGUGAUUGCCCUGUGUCGAUUGACAUAAACCUCCCUGUGUCCUCUGGGUCUGGGGUGGGUGCAGAGGGCCCGUUUUAUCACCAUCUCCAAUCUCACACCUGUACGGACACACGGCUCGCAUGGCACCGAUGCUGAGUGGGGAUGGCCCUCACUUGUCCCCUUCCUGGAGCAGAAAACCCCAAAGCACUGAGGCCCAUGCUCACAGGGAGCAGGUGGAUCAAUCGAUCAGCCCUUCGGACCCCCCUGCCUUGUCCUUCCCUUCUUCUCUCCCCUGGCCUAGCGAGAUCACCCCUGCAGUUGGGAAGAAAUAAAUAAAUAACCAAAUAAAAAUGCUGACGUGGAGAAGUCAA